GACAGAGGAUGCAAGCGUUAUCCGGAAUGAUUGGGCGUAAAGCGUCUGUAGGUGGCUUUUUAAGUCCGCCGUCAAAUCCCAGGGCUCAACCCUGGACAGGCGGUGGAAACUACCAAGCUGGAGUACGGUAGGGGCAGAGGGAAUUUCCGGUGGAGCGGUGAAAUGUGUAGAUAUGGAAAGACCACCCGAUGGCGAAGGCGACUCUGCGUGGCCAUGACUGACUGAGAAGACGAAAGGCUAGGGGAGGCAAUGGG
rnacentral:rRNA from 1 species